AUCUACAAAUUAAGGCCAUCCAAAUUCCAAACCCUUCAAAUCUAUCAGAUCUCCUCUUCUCAUCUCAACCAAAUCCACCAAAACAUACAAAUGUUCUCUUCUCUUUAGAUCAACCAGCGAACCUUUAAUUCUUCUUCUCUCUGCUUCUAAUGAGACACCAUCGGGUAGUUCUUUCGACGGUGGCCUCACGACGACGCUUGUUGGUGGCGGGUAGUGCUUCGACGGCGGCGAGUUGUUGGCGAUUGUGACAACUGACGACGACUUCGACAACAAUGAUUUAUCGGCUUGGUCGCACAGCUCCUUUGUCGUUAGCCGUUCAGAUCGUGAGGGAAUGGUUUCGACGGCAUAGAUCUGAUCUGGAGAUCCCGAGGCAACCGCAGCUUGGUAGUGGAAUAGCCAAAGCCUCUGUGCAUUGCGAGCCGUAGAUAGUGAAGCGAGCAAGGACGCUGAGCGACGACGGCAAGAGACGAAGCAGAGGAAGAAGACUGUCGGACAGACGGCAAUGCGAAACUGUAGAUGGCGAAGAAGAAGUCUGUCGACGCAGGCAUGCUCGUAGUGACUGUCAAAUUUUUUUAAUUUUUUUUUUCAUUUCUUUAAUUUUUCCUUGUUCUUAUCUUCUUUCGUUGUUGACUUGCAUUUUGAAUUUCAUUUUCUUUCACUGUUCACAAUGCAAUUCCAAAUUUCGAUAGUGUUUUUUUUUUUGUUUAAUUUUAUUUGGUGUGUAAUAUUUGUUAUCAUUUAAUUGAUGUGUUAAUGUUAAUAUAUAAUUGGUUGAUAA